rnacentral:lncRNA from 1 species
AGCUCAUCAACUAGCACUUCUGGUUCCCCUACUUUGAACCGCACAAUUCUUUGUCAGGUUAUGACUGUCGACACCACAGGAUCAGAACUGCCAGAGUGAUCCUCCAGAAACACGAGCCGGAUCCUGCCGUGCCCCUGCUCUGAAACUUUAAUGGGUCCCCACUGUCUGUAGGGGAGCAUCUAAACAUGAGAGUAUGACGUUCAAGUACUACCUAAUUUUCAGGCCUCAUUUCCUACCUCCUUCUUUCCAAAUGUCCAUUUGGAUUGUAACAGGGCUAUUUAACAUUCUCCUAGGCCUACCAGAAAAUAUCAUAAUGGUCUCCAUGCUUUCAUCUUCUUUCUCAAUUUCCCUUACAACCUAUAAACAUGUCACUCAUCGCUAAAGAUUCAAUUCAAAGAUCCAGUUGUCUAUCAAAGUUUGCUUGCUUUCCCCAGUCAGAAACCCCUCACCCCUUCCUUGCAGGGCCAGAACAAAGAUCCUUAGUACCAGGAUUUCCUGUCUUGAAUGCUGGGCAACGGUCCCUGUCUGCCCACCCACACAACUGCGAGCUCUUGAGGAUGGAGCCCUGCCAUGAUUCAUGCUCUACUCUCACGACAGUGAUGCAGGACGAUGUGUUAGCAGUUUCCUCUAAGACAGCAGACUUGGCCUAAAUAAAUAAAUAAAACUAUUCAAAAUAAGAUGAAGUAUUUAGACUCUUCUCCUAAUAAUGUCAUUCUCACACCUUUCCUAGCUCUCUUGAGUAGAAAAGGGUCAAGUUCAAGUUAGGAUGUGAGGAAUGAUGCAUAUCCAUGAGCUCUCUCACGGAUGUGUGUCUUGUGUAUUUUCGGAGAAAAAUAAAAAGCAUUGAGAAAUGCCACUCUCAGGGUUCCCAUCAUGGCACAGCAGAAACGUAUCUGACCAGGAACCAUGAGAUUACGGGUUCCAUCCCUGGCCUUGCUCAGUGGGCCAGGGAUCGGAUCUGCAACCUCAUGGUUCCUAGUCAGAUUCUUUUCUGCUGUGCCACGAUAGGAACACUUUUUUUUUCCAAGGCCAUAGGUGCCACAUGUGGAAGUUCUCAGGCUAGGGGUUGAAUUGGAGCUGCAGCUGCAGACCUACGCCACAGCCACAGCAAUGCUGGAUCCGAGCCUCAUCUGCAAUCUACACCACAGCUCAUGGCAAUGCCAGAUCCUUAACCCACUGAGAGAGGUCAGGAAUCCAACCUGCAUCCUCUUGGAUACUAGUUGGAUUCGUUUCCACUGAGCCACAACAGAAACUGUCCACACUGUCAUUUUGAAAUUAAAGUAGCUAAUGUAUAGGAUAAUAGAAAUGGGCACAACUCUUUUAAUAGUGGUUCUAAGUCAGCUGCUCACUGGUGAUACUUUAAGCCACAAUGAAAAGUUAAAUACCCUUCAGGGCAAAUUUUUACAAUUAUUCAAAAAUAAAGAGAGAGGUAUUUCCCAUUGUGGCUCAGCAUAAACAAAUCCAACUAGUGUCCACAAGGGUAUGGGUUUGAUCACUGGCCGCGCUUAGUGGGUGGGGGAUUUGGCAUCACUGUGAGCUGUGGUGUAGGCUGCAGAGCUGGAUCCCGAAUUGCUGUGGCUGGGGUGUAGGCUAGCAACUGCAGCUCUGAUUUGACCCCUAGCCUGGGAACUUCCAUAUGCCAUGGGUGCGGCCCUAAAAAGCCAAAAAAAAAAAAAAAAACAGAGAGAGAGAGCCAAUGACCAAACGCCUUUCACUCACUGAAGGCUUUCUAUGAACCAAGCAUUUGGGGGGGGGAGGGGCUGGAAGGGUUAAAAUUUUAUGACAACACUAGAAUCUUUAACCCCCUGCACUGUGCCAGGGAUUAAAUUGGCACCUGCACAGUGACCUGAGCCAUUGCAGUCAGAUUCUUAACCCACUGUGCCACAGCGGGAACUCCAGAUCAGGUGUUUUUUCAAGUGCAUCAUCUAAGUUUUAGUAUCCCUACAAAAUAAGCAGUCGCAUCCCUAUUUUACAGAUAAAGAGAACCUCAGAGAGGCUAAUGCAUGUCCCCAUGCGUAAUGGCCAGGAAGUUACAGAGUCAAGAUUGCAACUCAGGAACGCCUGACACCAAGGCCCAUGGAUUUUUCUCCUAUGACCCCAGUCUUAGUCCUGUUGGGCUGCUCCAACAAAAUACCACAGACUGAACAGCUCAUAGACCACACAUUUUUCACAGUCCUGAAGGCUGGAAGUCCCCGAUCAGGGUGCAAGUGUGGUUGGGAGGGCCCCUCUUCAGGGCCGCAGACUUCUCAUGUCUACACAUGGCCCCACCAUUAAUACCAUUAACUUUGGAGGUUAUAAUUUCAACAUGUGAACUGGGGAGACACAACCAUUCAGACCAUAGCAUCCUCUAAACCUCUAAGGGCCCAGAUCUUACAUUCAUAACCUCUGUGAUCCUACAAAACCCAAGAGUCUUGGUGAAAGUCAAAAAAAAAAGGCAGCAGUUAGGGAAGUACCUCCUUUGUCUGAGCAAGGCACCUUCAUAGCUUUUUUCGGUCCUCUACUCACAGCCAAGUUUCUUCUCCCCAGAGCAGUACUUUACCCAAAAAUAACUUCAUGACAGGCUAAAAUAGAAAAAGGAGUACAGAUAAAAUGUGGCAAGUUGCCCAAAAGGAUUUCCUGCUGGACGCAAACUCUCCAAGGCAGUGAAUUUUCCUUCAGGUAAAAUACAAAAACGUGUAAAGUUAAGGAAAAGAGGGGGGGAACAGGGUGGGAGGCCUGCUUUGCUGCACCACACAGGCCCAGGUAAGUACUACCUGCUCUUGAAUAAGAAGAUCACCGUUUUUGCUAAGCAGUUUUCCCCUAGUCAACCAAAAAGUAUCAAUCCUCUUGAUAAUCUGUAUGGAAGAAAAUAAAAUUGCCUAGAAGGCCAUCAGAGCAGUGGCUGCCCUGGAGGUCCACACCUGCCAGAAUGAAGACCUCAUCCCAUCCUUUGUAUAUUCCUUUUUUUUUUUUUUUAGGGCCGCACCUAUGGCCCGUGGAGGCUCCCAGGCUAGGGGUUGAAUCAGAGCUGUAGAUGCCAGCCUAUACCAGAGCCACAGCAAUGCUGGAUUCAAGCCGCGUCUGCAACCCACACCACAGCCCGCGGCAACACCAGAGCCUCAACCCACCAAGCGAGGCCAGGGAUUGAACCCGCAACCCCAUGGCUCCUAGUCAGAUUCAUUAACCACUGGGCCACGAUGGGAACUCCACUCCCUUGUAUAUUCUUACAGCCAACAGUGGCUGAACACCUACAAUGCAAAAAGCAUCUGCUAGAGGCUGAGAAUAAAGAUGAAAAUAAUUUGCAACUCCUUCCCCAGAUAGUUCACUCCAGCCCGGAAGUCAGACAAGCAAGCAUACAGUUAACUAUAGCUGGAUAAAUCAUAAAUGAAGGGAUUGUGGAAAAAGAGUUGAAACAAGAAGGAAACACCCAACACAGUGUGGGGAAAGGGCUUCUUAAGCUGAGUUUGAAAUAACAAGUAGGUGUUUAUCAGAGGUGUGAGAACCAGGAAAAAUCUCUAGCAGGGAGAACAGGGUGUGCAAGGAUAUGUGAAUCAGGAACAGAGCUGAUUCCAGGGAGAAAAUGACUCCAAAUGUGAAAGGAUGGGGUGGGGGGGAGGUCAGAUCCGUUAGGUGAACAGAGGGUAAAAUUGUACACUUCAGCUUCCCCUUAUGGGUCAGCAGGUUAAAAACCUGAUGCAGUGUCCAUGAGAAUAUGGGUUCAAUCCCUGGCCUUGUUCAGUGGGUGAAGAAUCUGGCAUUGCCACAAGUUGUAGUGCAGGUCGUGAAUGCAGCUUGGACCUGGCAUGGCUGUGGCUGAGGCUGAGGCUGUGGCUGUGGUGUAGGCUGGCAGUGGCAGCUCCGAUUUGACCCCUCGUCUGGGAACUUCCAUAUGCCGCAGGUGUGGCCGUAAAAAGACAAAAAAAACAUCAGUACUUUGCUGCCCAUUCCCAUGUUAACCAGUGACACACUUAAGAGGGCAUGCGUGGGAAGGGAAAUUCUUAUAAGCUCAGAGAGACAAACUAUACACCACAUUGUGUGAGGGAUCCAGGGAUGUGCAUUAUCCCUGGAUCUCUUCCGUGUAUGUGAGGGGCUGAUUCUUGGUAGGUAUUUGCCUAACGAUAUGUGUGAGUCCACCACAGCCUGGUCAGAGAGAAAUGUGAGGGACAUGCUACACUGAAUCUAUCUCCCAAACAAAGCCGUCCAUAGUGGGAUGGGGAAGCAAGUCUGAACAAUGCCAUGGCCAACUGCCCCAUCAGGCAUGAGACUUCCUCUUUCAGAGCUCCUGGCUCUUCUAAGUACUACCCAGGCACCUCAGGAAAUGGAUGAAAAUCUCUGCCUCUCAGUAUCCUCAUCUGUAACAUGGGGAGAAUGAUGCUUAUGGCACAGAGUUAAUAUAACAGGGUUAUGUUAAUGUCUGUUACAGUAUCUGAUGUUUCCUUGUUAUAUUUAUUAGUUUCCAUUCUCUUCUCCUUCAUUAAAUCAACAGUCACAACAAUGGUCAUGAAAGACACCACUGCCAAUUUCUCCUAUUAUUUUUAACAAAUGAUCCACAGCAUAUGUGCCAUAGAUUGAAGAUUUAAAAGCACAUUAACUUCUGUUGGCUGAUGUGGUGAUCUCAGUAACCUUCACAGUUAGAUAAGAGGAGUGAUGUCAGGGAUACAGUGAGGAAGCACGUGACCUGCCCAGAUUCAUAUGGUUGUCACGUGACAGAAGGUAAGCUCACAGGCUCAUUCUUUAUCUCCAAAGCCCAGUUCCUUUAACUGCACAGCAUUGCAUCUGUGAGUACUUGUCUAGAAAAACCAAGAACACUAAUGUGGCAGCCAUCAGCAACAAAGCUCACUUUACUAAAUGUAAUAUCAGUAAGGGGCCCUUGUGAGUUAUAGAAGCUUCUCCUGUGGCAUAACAAGUAUCUUUGCCAAAGUUCAUGGGUUCGGCUAAAGAUUUGAAAGACAAAGACCAGGUCUUAUUAGUGCCUCCAGCCUCAAGUGUUUGCUGCCAUCCUGUCAUACCAGACAAACUCAAUACCUUUUUGCUGGAUGAAUGGAUGGAUUUUGUAGGCAGUUAAUGAUUUACAAACUAUUUCUACAUCCUUCGUCUUACUUGAUUUUUUCCAAAGCUCUGGAACAUAAAGAAAAGCUGAUAUCAUUUUCUACAUUUAACACAUGAUGAUAUGCAGGUCACACCCAGGUUGCUGUUUUUGUCUUUCUUUGAAGGAUUACAAUGGAUUCAUGCUCCCUCCUGGAGCAGAACUCAGCUGAAUCCCACAUGCAGCUGUUGCCCUGCCACACAAGGCUGCUUAAAAGCCAGGACAGACACUGUUUUGUUAUUAUCUCUCAUAUCUUUCAAAAUACAUUAAAUUCUGAAAAUCUCUGUGAUAAUUAAACUAAAAAAAAAAAAAAAAAGAGCUGAAGCUGAACCAUUCAACCUAGAAUAACUAUUACAUUCCUAUUCUUUCCCUUUCUCACCUCCUUUUGGUCUCCAUUGUCUAUAGCAUGGGGUAUUCUUCUUCCUCCACAAAAAGAAUCCACUUCCUACAGAAUAGAGUUGUCAGAAUUGUGUGAACCUUGCUUUCUGUGUUAACCCUUCUGUUGGGUUUUAUAGCACACAUUUUUCCUGAAUGGUUUCCACCAUCAGUCUCAGCACUCUGAGAGCUCAUCCCAAAAGUGGUUUUGCUUUUUAGGGCCACAUCUGCAGCAUAUGGAAGUUUCCAGGCUAGAGGUUGAAUUGGAGCUGCAGCUGCUGGCCUAUACCUUAGCCACAGCAACUCAGGAUCCAAACACAUCUGUGACCUACACCACAGCUCAUGGCAAUGCUGGAUCUUUAACCCACUGAGUGAGGCCAGGGAUUGAAUCCGUAUCCUCACGGAUCCUAGUCAGGUUCUUGACCCACUGACCUCAAUAGGAACUCCAAAAGUGGAGUCUUAUGAUGCCACAGCCUUAUACCAGGUCCAUUGGAGUCACCCAACAAAGCUGCACAGAUUGCUUAAUGUGGUUCUCAGGGUAUCCCAAAUUCAUAUCCUACUUAUCUUUGCAGCCCAUCUCCCACAUUUCCUCUCCAUAGGCUCUGCACUCUACCAGACCAAGAUAGUCAAAGACCCCCUAAAUAACUUCUCUGCAUUUCCACACACCAUCCCCGUCCCAUCACCACUACCAAGGAUGAAGCCUCCACUUCUAAAACCCCUCCGCAUCCUUCAAGGGCUUUCCCUUGAAACCAUCCCUCAUUUCCUUCAGCAAUUCACUCAACAAACAGUUUUUAAAAAAACUCCUUUACGCCCUAAAAAAGUUAUUCUUGAGGAGCUUAAUAUUUACCGAGCAAAAGAGACUCAGCGAAGAGAAACUCAACUCAUGAGGAUGCUGUAAUGAUAGCACUGCAAAGCAAUGGGUCAGCCGCUGGAGAGAAUUUGGGAGCCUCCAUCCAGACCUUGCUGAGACUGCUAG